rnacentral:rRNA from 1 species
AGCUCGAUGAGUAGGGCGGGACACGUGGUAUCCUGUCUGAAUAUGGGGGGACCAUCCUCCAAGGCUAAAUACUCCUGACUGACCGAUAGUGAACCAGUACCGUGAGGGAAAGGCGAAAAGAACCCCGGCGAGGGGAGUGAAAAAGAACCUGAAACCGUGUACGUACAAGCAGUGGGAGCACCCUUUGGGGUGUGACUGCGUACCUUUUGUAUAAUGGGUCAGCGACUUAUAUUCUGUAGCAAGGUUAACCGAAUAGGGGAGCCGGAGGGAAACCGAGUCUUAAUUGGGCGUUAAGUUGCAGGGUAUAGACCCGAAACCCGGUGAUCUAGCCAUGGGCAGGUUGAAGGUUGGGUAACACUAACUGGAGGACCGAACCGACUAAUGUUGAAAAAUUAGCGGAUGACCUGUGGCUGGGGGUGAAAGGCCAAUCAAACCGGGAGAUAGCUGGUUCUCCCCGAAAGCUAUUUAGGUAGCGCCUCGUGAAUUCAUCUCCGGGGGUAGAGCACUGUUUCGGCUAGGGGGUCAUCCCGACUUACCAACCCGAUGCAAACUGCGAAUACCGGAGAAUGUUAUCACGGGAGACACACGGCGGGUGCUAACGUCCGUCGUGAAGAGGGAAACAACCCAGACCGCCAGCUAAGGUCCCAAAGUCAUGGUUAAGUGGGAAACGAUGUGGGAAGGCCCAGACAGCCAGGAUGUUGGCUUAGAAGCAGCCAUCAUUUAAAGAAAGCGUAAUAGCUCACUGGUCGAGUCGGCCUGCGCGGAAGAUGUAACGGGGCUAAACCAUGCACCGAAGCUGCGGCAGCGACACUCAGGUGUUGUUGGGUAGGGGAGCGUUCUGUAAGCCUGUGAAGGUGGCCUGUGAGGGUUGCUGGAGGUAUCAGAAGUGCGAAUGCUGACAUAAGUAACGAUAAAGCGGGUGAAAAGCCCGCUCGCCGGAAGACCAAGGGUUCCUGUCCAACGUUAAUCGGGGCAGGGUGAGUCGACCCCUAAGGCGAGGCCGAAAGGCGUAGUCGAUGGGAAACGGGUUAAUAUUCCCGUACUUGGUGUUACUGCGAAGGGGGGACGGAGAAGGCUAUGUUGGCCGGGCGACGGUUGUCCCGGUUUAAGCGUGUAGGUGUGUGUUCCAGGUAAAUCCGGUUCACUUUAACACUGAGGCGUGAUGACGAGGCACUACGGUGCUGAAGCAACAAAUGCCCUGCUUCCAGGAAAAGCCUCUAAGCAUCAGGUAACAUCAAAUCGUACCCCAAACCGACACAGGUGGUCAGGUAGAGAAUACCAAGGCGCUUGAGAGAACUCGGGUGAAGGAACUAGGCAAAAUGGUGCCGUAACUUCGGGAGAAGGCACGCUGACACGUAGGUGAAGUGAUUUACUCA